GACCCGUUAGCUCAGUCGGCAGAGCACCUGCCUUUUAAGCAGGGUGUCCGGGGUUCGAAUCCCCGACGGGUCACCA
rnacentral:tRNA from 1 species